rnacentral:rRNA from 1 species
UACAGAGGAUGCAAGCGUUAUCCGGAAUGAUUGGGCGUAAAGCGUCUGUAGGUGGCUUUUUAAGUCCGCCGUCAAAUCCCAGGGCUCAACUCUGGACAGGCGGUGGAAACUACCAAGCUCGAGUACGGUAGGGGCAGAGGGAAUUCCUGGUGUAGCGGUGAAAUGCGCAGAUAUCAGGAGGAACACCAAUGGCGAAGGCAGCGCGCUGGGACGUGACUGACGCUGAGACGCGAAAGCGUGGGGAGCAAACAGG